rnacentral:rRNA from 1 species
AAUUGGAACUGAGACACGGUCCAAACUCCUACGGGAGGCAGCAGUGAGGAAUAUUGGUCAAUGGACGAGAGUCUGAACCAGCCAAGUAGCGUGAAGGAUGAAGGUCCUACGGAUUGUAAACUUCUUUUAUAAGGGAAUAAACCCUCCCACGUGUGGGAGCUUGUAUGUACCUUAUGAAUAAGCAUCGGCUAACUCCGUGCCAGCAGCCGCGGUAAUACGGAGGAUGCGAGCGUUAUCCGGAUUUAUUGGGUUUAAAGGGAGCGCAGACGGGUCGUUAAGUCAGCUGUGAAAGUUUGGGGCUCAACCUUAAAAUUGCAGUUGAUACUGGCGUCCUUGAGUGCGGUUGAGGUGUGCGGAAUUCGUGGUGUAGCGGUGAAAUGCUUAGAUAUCACGAAGAACUCCGAUUGCGAAGGCAGCACACUAAUCCGUAACUGACGUUCAUGCUCGAAAGUGUGGGUAUCAAACAGGAUUAGAUACCCUGGUAGUCCACACGGUAAACGAUGGAUACUCGCUGUUGGCGAUAUACGGUCAGCGGCUUAGCGAAAGCGUUAAG